rnacentral:rRNA from 1 species
GUCGACCCCUAAGGCGAGGCCGAAAGGCGUAGUCGAUGGGAAACAGGUUAAUAUUCCUGUACUUGGUGUUACUGCGAAGGGGGGACGGAGAAGGCUAUGUUAGCCGGGCGACGGUUGUCCCGGUUUAAGCAUGUAGGCUGGUUAUCCAGGCAAAUCCGGAUAACCAAGGCUGAGGUGUGAUGACGAGGCACUACGGUGCUGAAGUAACAAAUGCCCUGCUUCCAGGAAAAGCCUCUAAGCAUCAGGUAACAUCAAAUCGUACCCCAAACCGACACAGGUGGUCAGGUAGAGAAUACCAAGGCGCUUGAGAGAACUCGGGUGAAGGAACUAGGCAAAAUGGUGCCGUAACUUCGGGAGAAGGCACGCUGGUGUGUAGGUGAAGUCCCUGCGGAUGGAGCUGAGACCAGUCGAAGAU